rnacentral:rRNA from 1 species
AGAGUUUGAUCAUGGCUCAGAUUGAACGCUGGCGGCAUGCCUUACACAUGCAAGUCGAACGGUAACAGGUUAAGCUGACGAGUGGCGAACGGGUGAGUAAUAUAUCGGAACGUGCCCAGUCGUGGGGGGAUAACGCAGCGAAAGCUGUGCUAAUACCGCAUACGAUCUCUGGAUGAAAGCGGGGGAUCGCAAGACCUCGCGCGAUUGGAGCGGCCGAUAUCAGAUUAGCUAGUUGGUGGGGUAAAAGCCCACCAAGGCGACGAUCUGUAGCUGGUCUGAGAGGACGACCAGCCACACUGGAACUGAGACACGGUCCAGACUCCUACGGGAGGCAGCAGUGGGGAAUUUUGGACAAUGGGCGCAAGCCUGAUCCAGCAAUGCCGCGUGCAGGAUGAAGGCCUUCGGGUUGUAAACUGCUUUUGUACGGAACGAAACGGUCUGCCCUAAUACGGUGGGCUAAUGACGGUACCGUAAGAAUAAGCACCGGCUAACUACGUGCCAGCAGCCGCGGUAAUACGUAGGGUGCGAGCGUUAAUCGGAAUUACUGGGCGUAAAGCGUGCGCAGGCGGUUAUGUAAGACAGAUGUGAAAUCCCCGGGCUCAACCUGGGACCUGCAUUUGUGACUGCAUAGCUAGAGUACGGUAGAGGGGGGAUGGAAUUCCGCGUGUAGCAGUGAAAUGCGUAGAUAUGCGGAGGAACACCGAUGGCGAAGGCAAUCCCCUGGACCUGUACUGACGCUCAUGCACGAAAGCGUGGGGAGCAAACAGGAUUAGAUACCCUAGUAGUCC